UGGGGAAUUUUGGACAAUGGACGCAAGUCUGAUCCAGCCAUGCCGCGUGCGGGAAGGAGGCCUUCGGGUUGUAAACCGCUUUUGUCAGGGAAGAAACGAGUUUCUCUAAUACAGAGACUUAAUGACGGUACCUGAAGAAUAAGCACCGGCUAACUACGUGCCAGCAGCCGCGGUAAUACGUAGGGUGCAAGCGUUAAUCGGAAUUACUGGGCGUAAAGCGUGCGCAGGCGGUUAUGCAAGACAGAUGUGAAAUCCCCGGGCUCAACCUGGGAACUGCCUUUGUGACUGCAUAGCUAGAGUACGGUAGAGGGGGAUGGAAUUCCGCGUGUAGCAGUGAAAUGCGUAGAUAUGCGGAGGAACACCGAUGGCGAAGGCAAUCCCCUGGACCUGUACUGACGCUCAUGCACGAAAGCGUGGGGAGCAAACA
rnacentral:rRNA from 1 species